UAGGAAUGCUUUUCUGGAGGCUGACUUGCAAUGUUCUAAUAAAGUUCAGAACAUGGAAUCAAAGGUGCGAGCAGCAUGUAACCGUUCGAAUGCAAAAUUAGAUGACAUAGUCAGGCUCCUUGAUGACCUACUCACAGAGUAUGAGUCAACGGCCUAUGGUCCUGGAAAAUGGAAAAGGCUAGCCACAUUCUUAUAGCAGUGUUUGGCUGGCCCUGUUCUGGACCUUUUCAGAAGACAGAGCAUAUAGAUGCUGAAAGGAACGCCCUGAGAUUGAAAUGCAAUUCAAGCGAUGAUAAGUUGGCAUUGUUGAGGAAGCAGCUUGAAGCAAGCGAGAGUCACAGAGUUGAGUAUGUGAGGCGCUAUGA